UAGGGAAUCUCGGCAAUGGACGGAAGUCUGACCGAGCAACGCCGCGUGAGUGAAGAAGGUUUUCGGAUCGUAAAGCUCUGUUGUAAGAGAAGAACGAGUGUGAGAGUGGAAAGUUCACACUGUGACGGUAUCUUACCAGAAAGGGACGGCUAACUACGUGCCAGCAGCCGCGGUAAUACGUAGGUCCCGAGCGUUGUCCGGAUUUAUUGGGCGUAAAGCGAGCGCAGGCGGUUAGAUAAGUCUGAAGUUAAAGGCUGUGGCUUAACCAUAGUAGGCUUUGGAAACUGUUUAACUUGAGUGCAAGAGGGGAGAGUGGAAUUCCAUGUGUAGCGGUGAAAUGCGUAGAUAUAUGGAGGAACACCGGUGGCGAAAGCGGCUCUCUGGCUUGUAACUGACGCUGAGGCUCGAAAGCGUGGGGAGCAAACAGGAUUAGAUACCCUGGUAGUCCACGCUGUAAACGAUGAGUGCUAGGUGUUAGACCCUUUCCGGGGUUUAGUGCCGUAGCUAACGCAUUAAGCACUCCGCCUGGGGAGUACGACCGCAAGGUUG
rnacentral:rRNA from 1 species